rnacentral:rRNA from 1 species
AUGGCGGCGAGGCCGGGAGCAGGCGGCCGCGUGCGCUUCAACGUGGGCGGGCAGGCGUUCGAGACCACCACCACCACGCUCGCCAACGCCGGCCGCGACUCCAUGCUCGGCGCGCUGCUCGACGCCUCCUGGAAUGUGCCCUGCGCAUCCGCCGGCGGGGAGGACGCGGCCGCCGAGUACUUCAUCGACCGCAACCCGGCGUGCUUCGCGGUGCUGCUCGACCUGCUCCGCACGGGCAGCCUCCACGUCCCGCCGCACCUCCCGGAGAAGCUGCUCUACCGGGAGGCGCUCUACUACGGCCUCCUCGACCACGUCCGCGCCGCGCGCUGGGGGACCUUCGACGGCGACCGCCUGCGCCUCGCGUCCUCCGUGCCCGGCCGCGCCCCCGGGGACGGCACGGCCGUCCGCGCCGCGCCCGACGGCGGCUGCUGCGUCGCGCACGGGGGCGCCGUGCACGUCUACAACUGGAUGCUCGACGAGCGCCGCCCCGUCUCGCUCGACCACUCGCAGGUCAACGACGUCGCCUACCUCGACGCGUCCACGCUCCUCAUCGCCGCGCGCGAGCGGCUCGGCAAGUGCGACGGCGGGAUGGCCGCCUUCUCCGCCGUCUCCGGGGACCUCCGCCACCGAUUCCGCGUCCAGCACGACCGCCAGGCGAAGUCCUUCACCGCCGGCGCGCUGGCCUUCGACAGGGACUCGAGGAUCUUCGCCAGCUGCAAGGGCCGACUCAAUGAGUACGGCAUCGGCGUCUGGGACAGCGCCACCGGCGAGCAGGCCGACUUCUUUUACGAGCCACCCGGGUGCGCCCUGGGCGACGCCGACAGGCUCCAGUGGCUGGACGCCACCAACGCGCUCAUGGUGGCCACGCUGUUCCCCAAGACGGACAACUGUUCCAUCGGCCUCCUGGAUUUCCGGGACAAGAGCGUGGCCUGGUCGUGGUCCGACGCCGGCACGGCCGCGUCGCUCGAGGAGAAGCGCGUGCUCCACGCCAUCGCCAUGGAGGACGAGCGGUCCGUGUGCGUGAUCAACCAGUACGACGACCUCGGGUUCCUGGACCUGAGGAGCAACCCCGGCGCCGUGCGGUGGAGCUCCCGGAGCAAGCUGAUGAACCGGAAGGCGCCCGGCGAGGAGAGCUGCUACCCGAAGCUGGCGACGCACGGCGGGCAGCUCUUCUCGUCGAUGAACGACAGCAUCUCCGUGUUCAGCGGGCCCGAGCACGUGCUGACGUCGACGCUGAGGCGGAGCUACGGCGGCGCCAUCUGCGACUUCUCCAUCGGAGGCGACCGCCUCUUCGCCCUGCACAACGAGGAGAACGUGUUCGACGUCUGGGAGACGCCGCCGCCGCCGAUCAUCUGA